CAGAAGUCCUCUCUCUAUCUCUGCAACUCUCUAAUAUGGUCGCUGUGUGACCAGCAAGUGCUCUCCUCUCUCCUUCUAUCUAAUUUUCCGCUGACCAGAAGUGCUCUCUCUCUCUCUCCUCUCUAAUUGUCCUGUGUGACCAGAAGUGCUCUCUCUCUCUCUUUUCUAUCUAAUAUGUCCUGCUGACCAGAAGUUGCUCUAUCCUCGUCUCCUCUCUAAUUGUCCUGCGUGACCUAACCAGAAG
rnacentral:lncRNA from 1 species